rnacentral:lncRNA from 1 species
UUGGCCUGAUGCCCCUAUGGGCUCGGCCUGCCGCCGCCGCGGGGCCUCCGAUGCUGCGCGCCAGGCCGGGUUCCGGAAAGCGGGUGGCGCAGGCGGGGAGCGCGGUAGGGAGCGGCCCUGGCUGCGGGGUCGCGGCCGUGGAGAGGUGGUGCGGGGCGCAGGACCGCUGAAGAUCCCAGCUGGACUCUGCGCGCCCGAAACCAGCUCUGCCACCCUGAGGACGAAGCCUCCCACUGAAGCCUCCUGCACGUGAACUGGAGGAAGAGAAGUAUCAAUUCCAGGACCUCAGCCUUCCUGUCUACCUAAGGGCAGAGGUCAAGGAUAGAAACAGAAUCAAGAAACAUUUAGAACAUAGUCCCGGGCUUCUGGGCAUCUCGAGAUCUGCUCACAGGGCGCAUCCCUAACACUCAUCCCUGUACCCAGCAGCUUCUCUACCCUGCGUGCUAGACAUUGCAUACAGAAGAAAAGGACAAAGCAGACCUCCAGACGAACAGGAUCCAGAGUGACCAGAACCAGACCAGAAAUCCUAUGACGACAUCACAGGAGGGGCCAACGUUGGGCUUGAAGAUGAUGGAGACAUUUUCAGGGAAGACCUUCCUGAUCUGCAGAGGUACAGGACAGUGGUUACACGCAUGGGGUGCUGGUCCCUAAAGGAAGAGGCCUGGGACCCCAUCACCUCACACAGAAAGACCCACUUCUCUCCUGUCCAGCGCUGCUUCCAUUUCCCACACAAAAUGGUUCCCAGACCG